UAGUACGGAUUGAACACGUCGC
rnacentral:miRNA from 1 species